ACGAACGCUGGCGGCGUGCUUAACACAUGCAAGUCGCACGGAAAGGCCCUGCUUUUGUGGGGUGCUCGAGUGGCGAACGGGUGAGUAACACGUGAGUAACCUGCCCUUGACUUUGGGAUAACUUCAGGAAACUGGGGCUAAUACCGGAUAGGAGCUCCUGCUGCAUGGUGGGGGUUGGAAAGUUUCGGCGGUUGGGGAUGGACUCGCGGCUUAUCAGCUUGUUGGUGGGGUAGUGGCUUACCAAGGCUUUGACGGGUAGCCGGCCUGAGAGGGUGACCGGCCACAUUGGGACUGAGAUACGGCCCAGACUCCACGGGAGGCAGCAGUGGGGAAUAUUGCACAAUGGGCGGAAGCCUGAUGCAGCAACGCCGCGUGCGGGAUGACGGCCUUCGGGUUGUAAACCGCUUUCGCCUGUGACGAAGCGUGAGUGACGGUAAUGGGUAAAGAAGCACCGGCUAACUACGUG
rnacentral:rRNA from 1 species